ensembl:lncRNA
GGGACAGAGAGCCCGUAUAUACGAAAAUUGCAUUUACCACUUAUUGCUUAGCUAAUAAAAAAUACAUAGUAUACAAUCGGUGACUCAUUGUCAUAUUUAUCCUGAUACCAGAUUCGAAUUGACGCAACUCUAACAUGGUGACCACCGACGUGAUCUGGUAAAAGGACAUCGCUGGACAUUGGUGUGCCAGCCGAUUGGUCAGUACUGUCGUCGGAUGGUGUGUCUCACAAAUCCUGACCGGUCAACUAAAAAGGGUAAGCAGACACCUGUUGUGAAAAACUAAAGUUCUGCACAUUGGAGUUAUCCAAAUUUAGUUUUGUGAGACACCUGUUUGAUGUAAGUAACAAUUAUAUUAAUUUAUAUUGGUAAAGGAUCAUAAGGAUUACAUAGUGGUAAAUGAAAUUUUGAACUGAUCGAUCACUUUUAUGGUAUGACAGUGAAUGUAAUGUACUAGGUAGUUCGGCGAAGCUACUGGUUUAUAUGAGGGUGGGUCGGCGAACCUACUUGUGUGAGUGUGGAUGAACGGCAAUAUAACAGCGAAUGUAAUGUACUAGGUGGGUCGGCGUACCUACCUAUUGGUUUGUGUGGGUGAGUCGGCGUACUUACUGGUGUGAAUGAAGAUUUGAUAAGACAAAUCGAAUGAUUGUGGUACAUUAGUUAUCAGUCGGCGUACUGAUGACGGGCUGAAUGAUCUACGGAUAAUAGUACAGGCAAGAGACCUGUGUUAUAUUGGAAAUAUAUAAGUUAAUAAAAGAAAUAAAUAAGUUCCUCGAGUGACUGUGGUACAUUAGUUAUUAGUAGGCGUACAAUAACAGUGGAAUGACCUAAGGGUAAUGAGAUGGGUUUUAUUGUAAAUAAGAUAAGUUCACUGAAUGAAUGUAGUACAUUGGGUAUUGAGUGGGAAUAGCUAAUACCAGUUUGAACGACCUACGGUUAUUUCUUGAAGUCAAUACUGUUAAUUGACUAAGGAGGUAGCAACGUUGACAUGAAAAAAGGUGGCGAAUUGGUUUUGGAAAUAAUUCAAAAAAUUAUAUGAUACACACCCCAAAUGUACCUAACAAUGACUAGUCAAGAGGCUGAGAAGGUGUUGAAAACUUUGAGGUCCACUUUGGAAAUAAUUGGUGGCAGAAGCGGGGAGAAAAGCUAUACAGGGAGUGGACAGAAGAAGGCAGCAUUGCCGCGCCCAACGGGCUCCCUGGUUUGAUAUCGGAGACGCUAAAACGGAGAAUAAGGAGAAUCCUCGCUGGGGAAAAGCUUGGGCCUUGGAAUUGUAAUGUUUUCUGGGAAUUGUCUCGGUGCCGGAGUUUGCUAGUAUAGACAAUUAUAAUGUGAUGGUUAUUGGCGGGGAAACUCAAUCAUUUCAAUGGCGUUGGGGUAAAGUUUUUUCCUUCGAUGCGGGGGACUGGGGUUCGUGUCUCAGCCUUGACAUCGAUAGACUAAAAUCCAUUCUGAUUGUAAUUAAAAUAUUUAUGGGUUUUGCCCGGAUUGAUACGGUUAUUAGUAUUUGUUCAAGAUAUGACUGAACGUUUUGAUAGUUUGUUUCUAUGUAAUACAUUGUGUUUCCCAAAUGAUCACUGGAAUAGCCUAUUGGGAAUGGAGUCGUAUUUUUUUUUUAAACGGUGCUGGGUCAUGGGAUGAGACAGUUAUCUAAAUCUGAUGAAUUCUAAAUAAUAAUGAAGAGACAUUUACGAUAGAUUUGUGCCCAUCGAAAUGUUCUUAUGAAUUUAGCGAAGUACAUGGCACGUUCACAUUUUGGGGUAGAGGAAGUUGGAAGGUAAAACUGCGUAAUUACGUUGACUACACAAUAACAUUCCUCAAAUUAUGACAGAGAAAAUUGGUUGUGUCAUUUAGAGGGAAAAUACGUGCAUUAUAGCUUUCAGUCACUUUACAGAAAGAAAUAAAAA